AAGCGCCGCGUGACAGGUGUCCAAAGCAGUUUUACGCGCUGAAGACAGAGCACAGAUCAAUGCAUUUAUCAGCGCGCGACUCACAUAUACCUGUCUAGCAAGGCCUCUGUCUAGCAUUAUAAAGCCUCUGAUGAGCCUCAUGAUGAAACGAGAAUGUUUUCAAGGGACAGCGACCCUGGUGCCAAAGAUGAAUCAACACGAAAGAUGGAUCUUGUGUGUGUUUUCUGUACUUGUCUUACGUUGAGCCACGCGCACAAUACCUGCAGAUGAAAAGGUUUUGUUCGUUCGGCUCGCGUUACGCAGAUGCAGAUAUGCUUCAGCAGAACACGACACAUAGGAGCAACAGGACACAUCGACGUGUACGACUGCACUUUCAUUCCUGGCAGGGUUUAAAGAUUAUACUGUUUACAAAGCUUAACCAUUUUGAUAAAGUUUAAACAAAUAUAAAAACGAGUAAUUUGUUUAUUCUCUGUAAUAAAUUAGCCUGCUUUUACAAAUGCAAUAGUCAUAUGUUUUAAGAUUUUUAGGACGAGUUUUAGGAUUUAUACAAUGCAUUCAUUGUAGUUUAUUUUAUUAAACGAUUUAUCAAAAGCUUCACCAAAAACUUUCAGAUUUUGAAAUAUUGUCAAAGCUGCAACAUUUGAAUUAAACCUGACGACAUGCAUUUAUUGUAAUUUCAUUUGAUACAUGUAUUCUUCUAAAAACAGAGGUACAUUUGUUGGUAUAUGUAAUUUUUUAAUUUUACAAAAUAUUUAUGCACUCUAAAAAAUGCUGGAUUAUUUUCAACCCAGUGUUGGGUA